rnacentral:rRNA from 1 species
CCUACGGGAGGCAGCAGUGAGGAAUAUUGGUCAAUGGGCGUAAGCCUGAACCAGCCAAGUCGCGUGAGGGAUGAAGGUUCUAUGGAUCGUAAACCUCUUUUAUAAGGGAAUAAAGUGUGGGACGUGUCCUAUUUUGUAUGUACCUUAUGAAUAAGGAUCGGCUAACUCCGUGCCAGCAGCCGCGGUAAUACGGAGGAUCCGAGCGUUAUCCGGAUUUAUUGGGUUUAAAGGGUGCGUAGGCGGCCUUUUAAGUCAGCGGUGAAAGUCUGUGGCCCAACCACAGAAUUGCCGUUGAAACUGGGUGGCUGGAGUAUGUUUGGGGCAGGCGGAAUGCGUGGUGUAGCGGUGAAAUGCUUAGAUAUCACGCGGAACCCCGAUGGCGAAGGCAGCCUGCCAAGCCAUGACUGACGCUGAUGCACGAAAGCGUGGGGAGCAAACAGGAUUAGAUACCCGAGUAGUC